rnacentral:rRNA from 1 species
GAUGAACGCUGGCGGCGUGCCUAAUACAUGCAAGUCGAGCGAACAGAUAAGGAGCUUGCUCCUUUGACGUUAGCGGCGGACGGGUGAGUAACACGUGGGUAACCUACCUAUAAGACUGGAAUAACUCCGGGAAACCGGGGCUAAUGCCGGAUAACAUAUAGAACCGCAUGGUUCUAUAGUGAAAAGAUGGUUUUGCUAUCACUUAUAGAUGGACCCGCGCCGUAUUAGUUAGUUGGUAAGGUAAUGGCUUACCAAGGCGACGAUACGUAGCCGACCUGAGAGGGUGAUCGGCCACACUGGAACUGAGACACGGUCCAGACUCCUACGGGAGGCAGCAGUAGGGAAUCUUCCGCAAUGGGCGAAAGCCUGACGGAGCAACGCCGCGUGAGUGAUGAAGGGUUUCGGCUCGUAAAACUCUGUUAUUAGGGAAGAACAUAUGUGUAAGUAACUGUGCACAUCUUGACGGUACCUAAUCAGAAAGCCACGGCUAACUACGUG